GUGGAUUAGAUACCCUGGUAGUCCACGCCGUAAACGAUGGGUGCUAGGUGUCGCGGGCUUUGACCCCUGCGGUGCCGUAGCUAACGCAUUAAGCACCCCGCCUGGGGAGUACGGCCGCAAGGCUAAAACUCAAAGGAAUUGACGGGGGCCCGCACAAGCGGUGGAGCAUGUGGUUCAAUUCGACGCAACGCGCAGAACCUUACCUGGGCUAGAAAGUGCAGGAACUUGGUAGAAAUAUCGAGGUGCUCGUCGGAGAACCUGCAGUUAGGUGCUGCAUGGCCGUCGACAGCU
rnacentral:rRNA from 1 species